AUUGAACGCGGGCGGCAUGCCUUACACAUGCAAGUCGAACGGCAGCACGGGAGCAAUCCUGGUGGCGAGUGGCGAACGGGUGAGUAAUAUAUCGGAACGUGCCCAGUCGUGGGGGAUAACGCAGCGAAAGCUGUUCUAAUACCGCAUACGAUAUAUGGAUGAAAGCGGGGGAACGCAAGGCCUCGGCCGAUUGGAGCGGCCGGGAUCAGAUUAGCUAGUUGGGGGGGUAAAGGGCCGCCAAGGCGACGAUCUGUAGCUGGUCUGAGAGGACGACCAGCCACACUGGAACUGAGACACGGUCCAGACUCCUACGGGAGGCAGCAGUGGGGAAUUUUGGACAAUGGGCGCAAGCCUGAUCCAGCAAUGCCGCGUGCAGGAUGAAGGCCUUCGGGUUGUAAACUGCUUUUGUACGGAACGAAACGGUGAGCUUUAAUACAGUUUGCUAAUGACGGUACCGUAAGAAUAAGCACCGGCUAACUACGUGCCAGCCGCCGCCGUAACAC
rnacentral:rRNA from 1 species